rnacentral:lncRNA from 1 species
AUGACCAAGGCCAGGGGCAGUUAUCUUGUGUUUAUGUACCAUUUCUUUUGGUAAAAUUUAAUGCCAUUGCCGGCAAGAACACUUGGCACAUAGAAUGUUGUGAUUAGUGGGACCAUUUGGUAUUUCCAUUAUCGUCCACAACAAAGACAAAACAAUGUAACAUAUUAAAAUAAAAAAAAAAUUCAACCAAUAAAAAAACUUUAUUUACUUCAUUUAUUUUUUCAUUUAAUAUUAGUGUAAAGAUAUAUUGGUAAACUUAGAUGGAUCAUUAAUUGGUAGUUUUCCUUUUUAAUAACUAACUACAUUAAAUUUGUAACUUAUUUAAAAAAAAAAAACAUAUUUUUCAAAAAAGGAAAAAAUAUAUAAUUUAAAGUGUAGCAUAAAUUACGAGAUGUGUAAGAUGAAUUACGAGCCGUGUAGGAUAAAUUUGAAUAUGUGUAGGAUAAAUUUCAGAACGUGUAGGAUAAACUUUGAUGUGUAUAAGCAAAAAUUUAAGUGUGGAGAAUGAUAGUGUUUAUUACUAAUUAAUUAGUUCAAGAUAAUAAUAAAUGAGUUGGGAGAAAAACUAUUUAAUGUUUUACAUUUGUACCCGUUGUUCAUUUUCUUCUUAAUUAGUCAAAGAUAAUAAUAAAUGAGUUGAGAGAAAAAUUAUUUAAUGUUUUACAUUUGUACCUUUUGUUCAUUUUCUUCUUAACUUAAUUUUCUUCUAUAUAUAUUACAUCUUUUAUACUGUUGGACUAAUGAACUUAUUUAAAGACAUUUAGUUCGGAUUAUAUAAUAGGGGGGCGGCCGGGCAGGUAAUGUAUGACAAGUAACACUACUUUAGGCAUGAGCAUACCUUGACUAAAACCAGUUAACUUACAAUUUUAAUUAUUUUAAGGUCGUAGUUGUUAACUACUUUAGGCAUACGCAUACCUUGACUAAAACCAGUUAACUUAUAAUUUUAAUUAUUUUAAGGUCGUAGUUGUUAACUACUUUAGGCAUGCGUGACUAAAACCAGAUAACUUGCAACACAACUAGAAAACUUUACUUUACAACAAUAUUGCAAUAACAUGGCAACAUGAUAUUUAGUGGGAAAUUUUUGCUAUUUCCCAAUAUAUUUAUAUUUAUUUAACUAUUUCGUUGGAAAAAAGUUAUAAAUAUAACUAGCAAAGUUUAUUAACAACACUUGUUAAAAUACCUACAACAUAAGGUUUUUUUCUUGAACUUACUUUGAUCAUAAGUCAUAACAUACAAGUAAUCACCUUUAGACUG